GGGGGUAUCGUUCAGUGGCAGGACAGCGGUCUCCAAAACCGCUAACGUGGGUUCGAUUCCUACUACCCCCGCCA
rnacentral:tRNA from 1 species